rnacentral:rRNA from 1 species
UACAGAGGUCUCAAGCGUUGUUCGGAUUCAUUGGGCGUAAAGGGUGCGUAGGCGGCGCGGUAAGUCGGGUGUGAAAUCUUUCCGCUUAACGGGAAGCGUGCCUCCGAUACUGAUCGCCUCGAGGGAGGUAGGGGCAUGUGGAACUUCCGGUGGAGCGGUGAAAUGCGUAGAUAUCGGAAGGAACGCCGGUGGCGAAAGCGACGUGCUGGACCUCUUCUGACGCUGAGGCGCGAAAGCUAGGGGAGCAAACGGG